GUGGGGAAUAUUGGACAAUGGGCGCAAGCCUGAUCCAGCCAUGCCGCGUGAGUGAUGAAGGCCCUAGGGUUGUAAAGCUCUUUCACCGGAGAAGAUAAUGACGGUAUCCGGAGAAGAAGCCCCGGCUAACUUCGUGCCAGCAGCCGCGGUAAUACGAAGGGGGCUAGCGUUGUUCGGAAUUACUGGGCGUAAAGCGCACGUAGGCGGACAUUUAAGUCAGGGGUGAAAGCCCGGGGCUCAACCCCGGAACUGCCUUUGAAACUAGGUAACUAGAAUCUGCGAGAGGUCAGAGGAAUUCCGAGUGGAGAGGUGAAAUUCGUAGAUAUUCGGAAGAACACCAGUGGCGAAGGCGACUGACUGGACAAGUAUUGACGCUGAGGUGCGAAAGCGUGGGGAGCAAACAGGAUUAGAAACCCCAGUAGUCC
rnacentral:rRNA from 1 species